CAACGUACUGCUCACCGUCUAUACUCGAUCAUCAAUCAACAACACACAAGCAAUUGGAAACAAUCAUGCACGAAGCAAACAAACUAUAAUUAGAACCGUACAUCAACAGUAGUAAAACAAAUAUAAAAGUUCAUAAAAACAUUCUACGCAGCACUACGAUCACACAGACGUAAAGAUCACAAAAAUUGAAAUUAAAACAAAGAAGUUAUGGAUUU
rnacentral:lncRNA from 1 species